AUUUCACAGGGCAAUCAUACUCAAGAACACAAAGGAUUUCCCCUCUGGGCAAAAUCUUAAAGUUACUAAAACAGGGAUAAAACUCCCACUUAGCACAGGGAAAAUUCACAAGCUAAAACAAAAGGUA